UUGUUGGCGAGGUAACGGCUCACCAAGGCAUCGACGGGUAGCUGGUCUGAGAGGACGAUCAGCCACACUGGGACUGAGACACGGCCCAGACUCCUACGGGAGGCAGCAGUGAGGAAUAUUGCGCAAUGGGGGAAACCCUGACGCAGCGACGCCGCGUGGAUGAUGAAGGCCUUAGGGUCGUAAAAUCCUGUCAGAUGGGAAGAAAUGUAUGAGGGAAUAAUACCCCUUGUGCUUGACGGUACCAUCAAAGGAAGCACCGGCUAACUCCGUGCCAGCAGCCGCGGUAAUACGGAGGGUGCAAACGUUGUUCGGAAUUACUGGGCGUAAAGCGCGCGUAGGCGGUUUGUUAAGUCAGAUGUGAAAGCCCAUGGCUCAACCAUGGACGUGCAUUUGAUACUGGCAGACUUGAGUACUGGAGGGGAUGGGUGGAAUUCCCGGUGUAGAGGUGAAAUUCGUAGAGAUCGGGAGGAAUACCGGUGGCGAAGGCGACCAUCUGGCCAGAUACUGACGCUGAAGUGCGAAAGCAUGGGUAGCAAACAGGAUUAGAUACCCUGGUAGUCCAUGCCGUAA
rnacentral:rRNA from 1 species